rnacentral:rRNA from 1 species
AUGAACGCUGGCGGCGUGCCUAAUACAUGCCAGUCGAGCGAACAGAUAAGGAGCUUGCUCCUUUGACGUUAGCGGCGGACGGGUGAGUAACACGUGGGUAACCUACCUAUAAGACUGGAAUAACUCCGGGAAACCGGGGCUAAUGCCGGAUAACAUGUUGAACCGCAUGGUUCUACAGUGAAAGGCGGCUUUGCUGUCACUUAUAGAUGGACCCGCGCCGUAUUAGCUAGUUGGUGAGGUAACGGCUCACCAAGGCAACGAUACGUAGCCGACCUGAGAGGGUGAUCGGCCACACUGGAACUGAGACACGGUCCAGACUCCUACGGGAGGCAGCAGUAGGGAAUCUUCCGCAAUGGGCGAAAGCCUGACGGAGCAACGCCGCGUGAGUGAUGAAGGUCUUCGGAUCGUAAAACUCUGUUAUUAGGGAAGAACAAAUGCGUAAGUAACUGUGCGCGUCUUGACGGUACCUAAUCAGAAAGCCACGGCUAACUACGUG